UUUAUUUUUUACUUUUUUAUUAUCAAUAAAUAAACCUGCAGUGCUCUGUGAUAAUUACCAUCUUUUCUCUGUUUUUGUCCAGGAACAGCCGCCAUGUUGUUGGCGUUGGCGGCCAUGUUGCUGAGGUCAGACAGUGUUUUAGUUGGCAGAUCCGCAAACCUGAGGAGGUUUGAUGAUCAUUUCCACAUGAAUGCAUCCAUUUGUCACCAUGACUGGAUGCUGCGGUGUGAGAGGCAGCAAAGUGUUUUCCCACAGUGAGGAACACACACACACACACACACACACACACACACACACACACACACACACACACACACACACACACACACACACACACACACCGGGCCUGGUAACUAGCUGGUGAUGAGUGGGCGUGAUGAUGGUGGCUGAUUAACAUCUGAGGCGACGCAGAGAGACGAUAAGGAGACGAAGAUCCCAGAGGAGCUGAGGGGCGUCUCAGUCACUGUGACAGAAAAGUCAGAAGCUGGAGCCUUUUCUCCGGAGGAGAGGCGGAGGUGGGAACCGCGGAGCAGCUAGCAUCACACCGUCUCUCGCUGCCCUCCGCUAAUUGGAACACGCCCCUCCGCUCCUCUGGGGCCUGUUAGCGACCUCCCACUGUCCGGCUCUCUGAUUGGCUGAGAUGCUUAUCAGUCGUUAGCGCCAGUCCAUGUAUUCAUUUCCCAACUCUUCCACUUUCCCCCGUCCUCCGUGACCUCUUCCUCUUUAUUACAGAUUAACGGGAAGAAAAACGGAGGAAAAUCAAAGUUUUACUUUCAGACUGUUUUAAAAUGAUUAAAAACUUUCCUGAUUCCUAAAA